UACGAAGGUGGCAAGCGUUGUUCGGAUUUACUGGGCGUAAAGGGAGCGUAGGUGGUGGGGUAAGCCCCGCGGGAAAGCUCCAGGCUUAACCUGGAAAGGUCGCGGGGACUGCUCCGCUCGAGGACGGAGAGGAGCGCGGAAUUCCCGGUGUAGCGGUGAAAUGCGUAGAGAUCGGGAGGAAGGCCGGUGGCGAAGGCGGCGCUCUGGAACGGCCCUGACACUGAGGCUCGAAAGCGUGGGAGCAAACAGGG
rnacentral:rRNA from 1 species